rnacentral:ncRNA from 1 species
UAUUCUUUGCCACCGGGUAAAGAAUGUACGGUGUUCAAAACAUUCCGUCAGGUCUUAGCAGGAAUGUUGUUUGAACGCUUUUUUUUAU